rnacentral:rRNA from 1 species
CAUGCAUGUCGAGCGAAUGGAUUAAGAGCUUGCUCUUAUGAAGUUAGCGGCGGACGGGUGAGUAACACGUGGGUAACCUGCCCAUAAGACUGGGAUAACUCCGGGAAAACCGGGGCUAAAUACCGGAUAACAUUUGAACCGCAUGGUUCGAAAUUGAAAGGCGGCUUCGGCUGUCACUUAUGGAUAGGACCGCGCGUCGCAUUAGCUAGUUGGUGAGGUAACGGGUCACCAAGGCAACGAUGCGUAGCCGACCUGAGAGGGUGAUCGGCCACACUGGACUGAGACACGGCCCAGACUCCUACGGGAGGCAGACGUAGGGAAUCUUCCGCAAUGGACGAAAGUCUGACGGAGAACGCCGCGAUGGUGAUGAAGGCUUUCGGGUCGUAAAACUCUGUUGUUAGGGAAGAACAAGUGCUAGUUGAAUAAGCUGGCACCUUGACGGUACGUAACCAGAAAGCCACGGGUAACUACGUGCCAGCAGCCGCGGUAAUACGUAGGUGGCAAGCGUUAUCCGGAAUUAUUGGGCGGUAAAGCGCGCGCAGGUGGUUUCUUAAGUCUGAUGUGAAAGCCCACGGCUCAACCGUUGAGGGUCAUUGGAAACUGGGAGACUUGAGUGCAGAAGAGGAAGUGGAAUUCCAUGUAGAGCGGUGAAAUGGCUAGAGAUAUGGAGGAACACCAGUGGCGAAGGCGAGUUUGUGGUCUGUAACUGACACUAGGGCGCGAAAGCGUGGGGAGCAAACAGGAUUAGAUACCCCUGGUAGUCCACGCGCUAAACGAUGAGUGCUAAGUGUUAGAAGGGUUUCCGCCCUUUAGUGCUGAAGUUAACGCAUUAGCACUCCGCCGUGGGAGUACGGCCGCAAGGCUGAAAGUCAAAGGAAUUGACUGGGGCCCGCACAAGCGGUGGAGCAUGUGGUUUAAUUCGAAGCCACGGCAAGAACCUUACCAGGUCUUGACAUCGUCUGAAAACCCUAGAGAUAGGGCUUCUUCUUCGGGGCAGAGUGACAGGUGGUGCUAGGUUGAUCGUCCUCAUGCGUGAGAUGUUGGGUUAAGUCCCGCAACGAGCGCAACCCUUAGUCUUAGUUGCCAUCAUUAAGUUGGGCACUCUAAGGUGACUACCGGUGACAAACCGGAGGAAGGUGGGGAUGACGUCAUUACAUCAUGCCCCUUAUGACCUGGGCUACACACGUGCUACAAUGGACGGUACAAAGAGCUGCAAGACGCGGCGGUGGAGCUAAUCUCAUAAAACCGUUCUGAGUUCGGAUUGUAGGCUGCAACUGCGCUACAUGAA